GUGUAUCGCACGACGAGUGUUGCUUUUCUUUACACCCUGCGUUACUGACUUCGACUGAUUACAAAUCCUGAACUUCCCUUUUUAUUGGGAGAUUCUGCAGCUCUGGUUGAGUAAAAGUCGGACAUACAUCAUCGCUAGUUGUGAAACCUGGUUACUGAGUGAUAUGACCACAGUGCCACCUAAAAAUUCAGCAUUUGUAAGUGGGGAAGAGCCACGAAGACAAACUCAGUAUCAAAACUCACACAACAAAAAUGAAGAACAUGCUCAAGAUGGACAAGCGGAAGUAACAAAGGAAUCGAUUGCCGGCACGAAAACCACUCAGUAUCUCUGUGCCUCUGUAUCUCAGGAGAGGCAGAGCGAGGCGACAGGGAUAAGACAAGAGCUCUUAGGUAAAAAAUGAGAUAGUUUGCCCAUUUUUCAAAAGCAGUAGUGACAUCGUGAUACCACCUAUAUCCCAGUUACAUAAUGCAUCUUACAAGACUUCUUUCCUCCUCAGAGAAGAAACCAUCCUUAAUGGUGGUCAGUAGUCAGCUAGUCUUGCCAGGCUUUGAUAUAUGUAUGUAUUGAGCACUGUUUUACGAAUAUCUACGUUUUGCGUAUGCUCGCUAGUUUACUCUAGUUUGAGCACUCUGGCAUGGCUUAGACGAUACCACAA
rnacentral:lncRNA from 1 species